GGAGAAGUUGUAAUAAAAACUAGAUUUACCUUGACUCCUAAUCUGGUCUCUUGAGCACAGAGAGUCAGCAUGAAUAAUUUUCUUUGUGUCCCUAUCAGUGUCUCACAGAAAAUGAUGUGCUCAGAGACUGGAAUAACAUUGGAAACAGUGCCUAGUGAGCAGACAGAAAGAGCUGUAAACAUCUCCUCUGCUGCAGGCCGUCAGCAUAUGCAACACUGACAUGAAUCAACAUGGUUGCUGCUUUUGGAGUCCUAAGUCUUGCUGGGGAACUGAUGUUUCACUCCUUCCUGCUGUCCUCUCCGGGAACAGAGCUUCAGUCUCCAUCAUCAAUCAUGCAGGGAGGAAUUCAGACUUCCACAUGGACCCCUUCCUCUCAGAGAUUCCAUCCAGCUCACACUCAAGUGCCACAGCCUCGGUGAUAUACACUAUGGUCACACCCAUGCUGAACCCCUUCAUCUACAGUCUGAGGAGCAAAGACACACAGGGGACUAGGGAAAGAGUCAAUCGGAUGGUAGGUAUAGAAAAGCAAAUUGUUCUGGGGCUGAAGAAUUGUCUGUGAUUGCAGGUCUUAAAGCAUCAGAACCAGAAAUUCCUAUUCUUUGAUCAUAUUCUGGGUAUUGAAGUUGCACCAUAUAAUU
rnacentral:lncRNA from 1 species